rnacentral:rRNA from 1 species
GACAGAGGGUGCAAACGUUUGUUCGGAUUUACUGGGCGUAAAGCGCGUGUAGGCGGCCUUGCAAGUCGGAUGUGAAAGCCCACGGCUCAACCGUGGAAGUGCAUCCGAAACUGCAUAGCUUGAGUCUCGGAGAGGAAGGUGGAAUGCUUGGUGUAGAGGUGAAAUUCGUAGAUAUCAAGCAGAACACCUGCGGCGAAGGCGGCCUUCUGGACGAUGACUGACGCUGAGACGCGAAAGCGUGGGGAGCAAACAGG